AACGGAUUAUUCUUUAUAGCUUGCUAUAAAGWAUAGUUAGUGGCAGACGGGUGAGUAAUGCAUAGGAAUCUACCUAGUAGUAUGGGAUAGCCACUAGAAAUGGUGGGUAAUACUGUAUAAUCCCUGCGGGGGAAAGAUUUAUCGCUAUUAGAUGAGCCUAUGUUAGAUUAGCUAGUUGGUAGGGUAAAGGCCUACCAAGGCGAUGAUCUAUAGCUGGUCUGAGAGGAUGAUCAGCCACACUGGAACUGAGAUACGGUCCAGACUCCUACGGGAGGCAGCAGUGGGGAAUAUUGGACAAUGGGCGCAAGCCUGAUCCAGCUAUGCCNCGUGAGUGAGGAAGGNCUUANGGNUGUAAAACUCUUUCAGUAGGGAAGAUAAUGACGGUACCUACAGAAGAAGUCCCGUCAAACUCCGUGCCGGCAGCCGCGGUAAUACGGAGGGGGCAAGCUUUGUUCGGAAUUAUUGGGCGUAAAGGGCAUGUAGGCGGUUCGGUAAGUUAAAGGUGAAAUGCCAGGCUUAACCCUGGAGCUGCUUUUAAUACUGCC
rnacentral:rRNA from 1 species